GUUCUGUAAUUUAGCAUCCAUUUCAUUGGACCACUUCUGUAUUGUGCACGUCACUGGUACUUCCUGUUUGACUUUUUCUUGUAAGGAGGAAUCCGGAGGAUAGAGUUGUGGUCAGAUUUGUCAAAUGGAGGGUGAGGAAGAGCCUUGUAUGUGUCCCUCUGUGUGGAGUAAAGGUGGUCUAGAGUUUUGUUGCCUGUAGUUAGUUGACACGUUGGUAGAAAUGAGGUAAAACCGAUUUCAGUUUUCCUGCAAUAAAAUCACCGGCCACUGGGAGAACCUGUUGGACGUGAGACUGAACAAAGAAAGGACAAGAGACGCCCUCAUGAGAUGAAGAUCAGAGCAGCGGUGGAUGAGAGGAAAUAGUAAAAUCGCUAGACUUAUCAAGACUUAUCAAGUCGUUGAAAAGACAGAUUCCCAGACUGGACAGCUACAGGGAUUAUUACAUCCCCAACCUCAUCAAAAGGGAAUAGGAUGAAGAGAGGAACACACACACACACACACACACACACACACACACACAUACACACGAUAAUCCAUCCAUGUGAUUGAUAUGGCAUAUCAAGAAGAUGAUUAAGCAGCAUGAUCAUUACACAAGUACAGCUUGUGCUGGGGACGAUAAAAGGCACAUCGAUGGCAAUUUGAAUGCACAGAGAUACUGCGAUGAGAUCCCGAGGUCCAUUGUCGUGCCGUUCAUCCACCCCCAUCCACAUCAUGUUUCAGCAUGAUAAUGCACAGCCCCAUGUUGCAAGGGUCUGUACACAAUUCCUGGAAGCUGAAAAUAUCCUAGUUCUUCCAUUGCCUGCAUACUCACCAGAAAUGCCACCCAUUGAGCAUGUUUGGGAUGCUCUGGAUCGACGUGUAGGACAGCGUGUUCUAGUUCCUGCCAAUAUCCAGCAACUUUGCACAGCCAUUGAAGAGGAGUGGGACUAUAUUCAACAGGUCACAGUCAACAGCCUGAUCAACUCUAUGCGGAGGAGAUGUGUCGUGCUACAUGAGGCAAAUGGUGGUCACACCAGAUACUGACUGGUUUUCUGAUCCAUGUCCCUACCUUUUUUAAAGGGAUAUAUCUGUGACCAACAGAUGCAUAUCUGUAUUGCCAGUUAUGUGAAAUCAAUAGACUUCAAAUCCAUAGACUUCAAUCCUUAUAUGAACUGUAACUCAGUAAAAUCUUUGAAAUUG